AACGUGUCUAUUGCGUAUGUCACAAAUGUCUAAACUUUUUUUUAUUAUUUUCUUUCUCUUUUUCUCCAAUUAGAUGGAAGUAAACCCAUACCUUUGAAAACAAAGAGAAAUAUGGGCCUCUAUGGUAUCAUCUUGGAAAGCAGAUUUUUUUUUUCUUCUAGUAGUGGCAUCUUGAAAUGGGCCAUUUCAAGAGUUUUAAUAGAUAUUACUUUCAGAAAACACUCUGUUAAAAACAUUUUUUUAAUAUCAUUUUCCUUUUAAUACAUAUUAGCAAUUUUUUGUAUUGAUGUGCUUAUUACCUAUUUGGUGUUAUGUCAAGAGAAAUGUCUAUAGAUUUUCUCCCCUUUCCCCUCUUCUCUUCUACUCUUCAUAAACACGAUACUGAUAUGAAAAGAGCAGAGUUACAAUUAGUGCGGUUGAUGGUGCCUAUUAUGUGUUUGAUGUUUUGUUUGAUUGAAAAAGUACAUUGUUCUUCAUGUAAGUUGGUUGUCGUUCAUUUAUUGAUACUAAGCCAAUUGUUACUACUUAUGUGCUGAUUUUUAUUCUCUUUGUUUCUUGUCUUGAAUAUGUUUAUUUGCUAACUUAGUUGUUGAUUUUUAUUUAUUAACAACAAUUGUUUUGAGGCUGGAAGAAAGAGGACUCCUCCUUGUUGGGAUGCCUAGCCGGUGCGGCUUCUUUUGAGUUCUCAUUCUGUUAGUUGUCCUGGGAUAUGCUUUGUACAACCACACAAAUAGAAGCAGUGUACCAUUUUGGGUGUGCCUUGCAAAGAGUUGAACUUCUGAACUUUGAAGUGACCCUAACAGAUAAAGAUUGUACAGUUGAGAUGUUGUUGUGCAAGAUGAAUUGCAUGAGGCAACCUUCUUGAGGAGCUUGGAUUUGUUCAAAGGCAAUGAGAAUGAUUUUGAUGUUGUUCUAGCAGAAAUGGAGAAGGAGAUGAGCAUGUCUGAUAUAAUGAAGGAAUUGGGCUAUGGAUGCACAUUUAAUGUUUCACAAUGCAUGGAGAUGUUAUCUCUUUUCUUACUGCUAACUGAAAUCACUGUCUCUACGAUACUUGGCACAAUUGCCCACACCCAUGCUGGGCUUGAGGAUAAUCAGAAUGCAUUUUCGCCUUGCUGUUAUGCUUUUGGUAUUGACAGUUUGUCUGAUAUGCCAUUGAUGAGCUCGUGGUAUAUUGAUGUCCUUAUUGAUUCAAUCAAGCAGCUUGUGAUUUUUUUUUUUCACAUCAUUCUGUAUCUUGCUUUAUUUAUUUUUAUCUUGUUGCAUAUGCAAUUUAGUAAAGUUCAUUCCUUGUUUCUAAUUUUAAAUGUUGAAGUACAGGCUCCUGAAGCCAACUGGAUAAGUGUUGUUGAAAGCCUAGAUCAUGAGGGAUUCUAUUUCCCUAAUGAGGCAGCAUUUUCCUUUUUUAUGUCCGUUUAUAGACGUGGAUGCCAGGUUUUUUUCAUACAUGAAUUUAAUUAAUUACAUGUACGUAAAAUUUGUUUCUUAUUGAUCUAGCAAUUAACAUUAGAUUUAUGCAUAUAUGCAUGGUUGUAGAUAAAUAAACCUCAAAGCACUAGCCAGAAGUUUUUUUUUUCUCCUUUGAUAAUGAUAAGUGUCCAUGAUGAUUUAUGCUUUUUUUGUUUGGGUACAAUGGAAAGGUUCAUGCAUUUAUGCCUAACUAUAUGUUCAACAAUGAUAUCUAUUGAAAUUAGCAAAGAAAAUAGCACACAGAAAUUAAUUUAUUAUUUAGUGCUUUAUGAAACUAACCUUUUGUUUGUGGCCAUAUUAUGCUACACAAAUCAGUUUUUAAUUAAUUUCAAAGUUAAUUAUAGACUGCCAUUGAAGUUGCCUAUGCACAAGCCACUUUCAAGGCUACCAAAAAGGUGUCUAUUAUUUUCUUGUAUAGCUGCACCAAAUUCCAAUGACCUCACACUCUAUAGAACAGUUCCACUCAUUUAAAUUUUUUGAACAAUUCUGAUGAACAAAUGACAUCCCUGUUGGUUCCCAAAUAACAUGUUUAACCCUUUGUUUAAGUCUAAACAUUUGUUUGAUACAAAACUUUUACAGUGUUCCGCGGGGGAUAUAUAUGUAUAUACAUAUAUUUCCAGAUAUUCUUACUGCUUGAAAUGAUUAAGAAUUUAGUCCUCAUAUGGGUUUUUUUAGUCUGUGUAGGAUUAUGGUUUGAAUUUGUGUUUGGUUGUUUCUAUUGCUCAUAUCAGGUCCAGAAUUUGAGUAAUUCAAAUAUAUAGAGAUUUGGGUUAUAAGAUUUGUUGGAGAAUUCUAACCAACUUUGGGUUGUUGAGAUGUUCUGUUCAAUUGCUCUUGUAUGCUUAAUGGAGCAGAUGGUUAGAUUACAGACCCAACAGAAGAGAGAGAAGUUCACUUCCAAGAAGGUGCACUCACAAUCCAAGCCGCUAGGAAUUUCCUAAUACAAAGAUAUGGAGGGCACAACCCACGACGGUGCACUCACAAGAAGAUAUUUGUUUAAAUUUUGUAUGGCUUAGAACUUAAUGAUAGUUUUUUUUUUUUUUUUUAUGAUUUAGAACAUUUUAGACAGUUUUGAACGUAAAGAUAGGUUUUGAUGUUUAGAAACAUAGUUUUUAGAUUAUUUGGAAUGUAUAGAUAGUUUUUGGAUAUUCAGAACUUAUGGAUAGUUUUUUUUUUUAAUUUUUUAAUUUUAUGUUUAAAACAAUAUUUUGGUGGUUGAUUAAU